GAGAUGCACAAGCCUGGGUCAAGAGA
rnacentral:piRNA from 1 species